GUCUUUUUUUUGUCUGAAUGAUUCAUGAUAUUAACAACAACAUGUUCACAAUUACAAAGGGGAAACGAGGGCAAUCAAACUACAAAAAAUCAUUACAAUUAUGUAAUACAUUUAUCAAUUUCAAACACCAUCUCUAGCCAAAAAGAGUAGUCUUAUGCUACAUAAGAUUGUGAUUGGUCCGCCAUUGUGACACUUUUAACUAUGAGGAAAGCUCCUUGGUUUGCUCAUCGA